UAUUAAAUCUAUCUUCAUUUGAUUCUGCUCAUCGGUGUUAUUACUAUUAUUACGAUUUUCUAAAACUGUUAAUUCCAACCGUCUCAUCUCUAACUGAAACCGCUGCUGUUCCCUUUCCUGCUCCGCCCUCACUUUUUUUUCCAAUUCUUGCUCAGCCCUCAAUUUUUCUUUUCCCAAUUCUUGCUCAAGCCUAAAUUUUUCUUGUUCAAGCCUAUUUUUCUCAAGCUCUAAUUUCAAGUUAUAUUCUUGUACUAAUUUCCACUUUUCAAAAUCCUCUGAGAACUGUGGAACCUCUACUUCAGGUGGGCUUUUAGUCAUCUCUUCUAUUCUCGUUUCCUCCCCCUGGGGAUUCCCACUCUCUUCUCCAGAGCUUUCGUAUGGGUUUUCUCUCACUGGGUGCUUGGUCUUCUUGGGUGGCAUUAUGGGAGAGUCAGUAUUUUCACUAAUUAAUUAAAUUAGAGAAUUUUACUUUCAACACUGUUCCUCCCGGCUUGGCUUUUCAAGACCCUGGUCCCCAAAGUAUAGCUUUAGGUUUUUGCCUCUAACCUUUCAAGCUUACUUCCUCUGUGAAAUAGACUAAGCCUCCGCCAGAACAGUCUUUUGAGAUCUCUUGCUCUUAUUGUUAUCUCGGCCUCGCGGCAAUCUGGGGUUUAUCUUCAAUCACACCCUCCGGCCAGCUAAUCACUUCACCGAUUUACCCUUCCCCUCUCAAGAUGUAUUGCUUCCCCUCACAGGCUCAGACUUAUCGAAUCCCGCCGCUGCCGCCAAUUUUGUGGCGGUUGUACAGAGCCCCCAGUCGUCUCACGGACUAUUGACCCAUACACCACUAAUCCGCUGCCACCAACCAGGUCCUCCCUGGUAAAAUCACUUCAGUUUCAGUCAGCUUCUUAAUUAAGAAAGAAGAGUGUAUUUUAUUUCAGACACAAACAAACUUUUACGGCAUUCCAAACGUUGUUGCUCUUUAGUUUCUUAGUCUUAUUUUCCUCUCUCUAUCUCUUCUACCUCCUCCACACUCAAGAACCCGCUGCCCUAACUGUCUCUCUAUUACCAACUGCCUUUCCCAACCAGCCAACCCACUCAAACCAACCAACUACCCACCACACCAACUCCCAACUAACUCCUCCCAGAACUGCUUUUAUAGUCCCACUGACUCCACCCCCCUGGGUCCUGACUGUGCAACCUAUUUAACUAUUUCCCCUCCAGCACUCUCUCAUAUAUGUUAACGUCACAUACCUCCCCCCUUAAGAAGUUUCGAUUCAGGAGGGUUAUCAGAUAGAAGAUUUAAAGAGAGAAUAAUCACGUUAAAAGAACUGAUGCAAGAAAUAAGUUAACACCCACCGCCCCCUGCAAAAUAUACAGUGGUACCUCGGGUUACAUAUGCUUCAGGUUACAGACGCUUCAGGUUACAGACUCUGCUAACCCAGAAAUAGUACCUCGGGUUAAAAACUUUGCUUCAGGAUGAGAACAGAAAUCGUGCUCCGGCGGCGCAGCAGCAGCAGCAGGAGGCCCCAUUAGCUAAAGUGGUGCUUCAGGUUAAGAACAGUUUCAGGUUAAGAACAGACCUCCGGAACGAAUUAAGUACUUAACCCGAGGUACCACUGUAUAUCCUUUUAAAACUUAAAUCAUAUUACAUUAUAAGUGUUAUAAAUCCCGCUAGCAUUUUUAGAUAUCUACAGUGGUCUUUAAAAUACUCUAUAAUUUUCCCCACUCUUGUGUGUGCUUCUUUGUCAUCUAUCAUGUAGAGUGUGCAGCUUGAUUGUGUCUUCCUUGUGCAAUUUAAUCUGCCCAAAUCUUUGUGCCACAGCUCUCCUCUACUACUGACAACAGAAUCUUGUUCUGUGUACUCAGGCUUCCUAGCCACAUGGAACCUUUUUCUUGCACUGGCACGUAUAAUAAGUUACUUUGUGUUCCUACUCCUGCACACACACACACACACACACACACACACACACACAAUUGCCCUGAUUUUCUUUCUUCUUUAUGACACACAGCUGCAUUUCGUGGAAGAUGGACUGGUUAUUUGAAGCGGCUCUUCCUAAGCCCAGUUUUAUCAAGCGUAUUUAACACAUUUAAUGUUAUGCCCAAACUUUCUUUUUGCGCUUGCAUUCAGCAGCCUGUCUUAAAGACACAGAGCGCCCUCUCGCGGGCAGAGAAAUUAUAAACCUUUUUAGCUAAAUGUGUACAACUCUGUGUACAUACUUGGGCUGGCUUGGGGAGAGCGGGGCUCUGCGUUGCACACUGCAGCUGCCUCCCAACUGGUAUUCUUUGGUAAGUGAAGUUUUGCCGCAGACUGGAAAAUGUAGGUUGUGCAAUUAAAGUAGAUUUGGUGCUGUUGUGCAAGAAACCCACUUCCAGUAAACAAACAAACAAAC